GGGCCUGAUGUGGGGCUCGAACCCACAAACCAUGAGAUCAUGGCCUCAGCCAAAGUCAGACAUUCAGUUGACUGAGCCACCCAGGCGCCCCAUGAAAUAUUUGUUCUUUUGAUGGAAUCUUGUAGAUCAUGUAGGUUUUCUUUCUCUUUCUCAUUCUUUUUUCUUUGUUCUCCUCUAUUUGGGUUAUUUCAAAAUUCUUAUCUUCUAACUCACUAAUUCUCUCUUCCAUUUACUCUACUCUUUGAAGAUACUCUGUAUUGCAUAUUUUUAUUUCACUAAUUGAGUUCUUCAGCUCCAGAAUCUCUUUUUGGUUCUUUUUUUUAUGAUUUCUAUAUCUUCGAAAAAAAAUCCCGUUUGGUGAUGUACUGUUUCAAGAUCUCAUUGAAUUAUCACUCUGAGUUUUCUUGUAGCUCAUUGAGUUUCUUCAAAAAUAGAUAUUUUGAAUUCUUUAUAAGCUAGAUCAUAAAACUCUGUGGCUUCAAGCUCAGCUUUGGAGAAUGUUAUUUUCUUUUUGUGAUGGCAUAUUUCAUUGAUUUUUCAUGUAUCUUACAGUUUUUCUACUUCAAAUGCAAAAGAAUUGUAGAAGACGGCUCCUUGAAUCUUUGCUAGUUACCUUCUGACAGGGCAUUCUAUUCCAUGCUGUUAUUAUCUGGGGUUUUAUAUUUGUAUGGGUACACCUGCCCCACUCCUCUUGCCUCCUGUUGUGGCAGGAUUCUUAAACUUUUAUUCCUCUCUGGUUUUCACAAGUCACCAGGCUGGUUACCGGAAUCCGCUUUGCUUUCCAGAAGGUGGCACUAUAGCUCAAAGUUGUGGUUUCUCCCUUGCCUGUUUUCUGAGCAUGCUCUUUGUCUACCAAAACUCUCACUGCCACAUAUGGGAGCAGGCACAAGGAGUUAGCCACAGAGUAGGGGAAGGCGUGGGUUUAGCAUUUGAGGUGUUGGAGUACCCACAGGCCCCACUGACCCCACUGGGAGAUCCACUGGCAUGGUACUACCAGAGGCUCGUAGGUGGGCUUUCUGCCCAGCAUAGUCAGUGGGAACCAUGUCUUAUCUGCCUCAUUUCCAGUCAGCACCCCCCACCCACCAGCUGAGUUCCUGCUUCAGUCAGUAUUCUGGGUGUUGCUGGAGAGAAGUGGGUUUCUCUAGCCAUGACCAGCACAACUGGGGUCACCAGGCACUUACAACUAUCCUUUUCCCUUGUAGGAGAGGUCACCACCACCCAAUAAAUCAACCCUGGGCAGCUUUGCCUUGGGGUGAGGGAGUGAGGGGGUGAGAGGGUCUGGUAAACUUUCUUUUAUCAACACUUUGCUGUGAUGAAACUCAUAUUGUUUCGCAGUACCUUUGGAUGGCUGGAUUUCUGCCAAUCCUCUCUCUUGCCCAGGUCAGUACUCUUCUCAUUUUGUCCUGACUGCAGCAAGAGGGGUCUGGGUAGUUUUGCCUACUGCCCUGAUUCUGCAGCCUAUCUAUACUAAGGUCUGUCUGCUUAUUUUUGAAUGCACAGGUGCAUGUGACUCCUCCCACAUUCCUGGGCUUAUGGUGCUAACACCCACAAAGGCACUUUUGUUUGUAGAGGGAUGUCUUUUUUGUUGUUAAAAAGGGAGGAUAAAAGGGGGAAAUGGCUUAGGACACCAUGAUGCUGAUGUCACUGAUAAGGCUAUUCCUUUUUGAAUCUGGGUUUUCAGCCAUUGCUAUGAUAAAUGUCAAGUACCUCAUGAGAAUCAAUGUGCAACAGGAAAUGAGAGUGGCUACGUCCAAUCGGAUUCCCAGGUGUAAGAAGAUAUGCAGUGCCCAUUACUGAAGGCUGAUGGGACCUUGGAGCACGCACUGGGGGCUUGGAGUGUCAGCUUACCUAAGAGCCAAACUGGUUGGGCUGGAGGAGCAGGUGCCUGGGACAGUUGAAAUAUAAGAAAACAGAGAUGGAGGCUCCACACUCACCAUGGAGCCCAACACAGGGCUUGAACUCAGAACCCUGACAUCAAGACCUGAGCUGUGAUCAAGAGUCAGAUGAUUAACCAACUGAACCACCCAGGCACCCUACAAUAAAAACAAACUUAUGAAGAUGCUGGUUACUUUACCCAAGAUUUCAGCAUCACAGGUAUGGUACUGAUCUCUCAACCCCUGCCCUUCCUGCCAUCACCCACCCCCUGGCAUGCAGGCGGAGCUCUUGCUAAAAGCCAGCCUUGAACACCUCCACGGGCAAAGCUCCAUCAAGCUUGGCUGCCUUCCUCUGAGCUCUGGAACUUUGGGUAAGUAACAUUUUCUCCAUCUGGUUCCCUGUCUAUUACGGAGAUGAAUUCUUUCAAAUUGGUUCCUUUUAAACUCCCCAUCCUUGAGCAAAAUCACAUUUGCCGUUAGAAAGAAGAAGCAAAUACAAAUCCUGGUGGUGGCCAUCAGCAGAGCCACAAUGCUCUGGGGUGGGGUGGGGAGCAGAGAGGGAGAGACCUCACAAGGAGGGAAGGUAUAAGAGGGCGCAUAACAGCCUGUCCUAAUCCCAGUAUAGUCUCAUGAAAAUAAACAGCCAACACAAACACAGCAUUCUUAAUUGGAUUCAAUUAUGAUUUCAUUCAUAUUUCAGUGAAACAAACCCUCACUGUGUUAGGUUUAUUCAACAGCACCAUUGCUCAUGCUUCUAUUGUGGCAUUAAUUAAUUCUAGUUUAGUUAUGGUUUGGUUUUUAGAUGUUUAUUUCCUUCCUGAACUCUGUGUAUAGCUGUAUUGGGUUGAAUAGUUUUACCUAAAAAUUCACAUCCACCCAGAAUCUGUGAAUGUGACCUUAUCUGGAAAUACGGUAUUUGCAAAGUAAUCAAGGUGAGAUGAGGUCAUGCUGUGUUAGGGUAGGAACUAAAUCCAAUGACUGGUGUCCUAAUGAAGAAACGAUGGUUGUGAGAUACACAAGAAGAAGAUCCAUGUGACAAUAGAAGCAGAGAUUGAAGCAAUGCAUCUACAAGUCAAGGAACGGGACUGCCGAACCCAUCAGAAUCCUAAGGAAGAAUUCUUCCCUAAAACCUUCCGAGUGAGCAUGGCCUUACCAACACCUUGAUUGCAGAUAUCCAGCCUCCAGAACUGUGAGAGAACAAAUUUCUGUUGUUUUAAGCCACUCGGGUUGUGUAGUUGUUACCUAUUGCAGCCCUAGAAAAUUAAUUUCAUAUCUAUCCUAGUGUCGCUUAUAAUGCAUUGUGCAGGGCUUUGCUCCAUGUGUCCAUGCAUGGCAGCUAGACAAAAAAGAUAACAUAUGUGCUUGGGGGUGCCACGGUGGCUCAGUUGGUUAAGUGUCUGACUUCAACUAAGGUCAUGAUCUCCCGGUUUGUGGGUUCAGGCCCCACGUGGGGCUAUGUGCUGACAGCUCAGAACCUGGAACUUGCUUCAGAUUCUGUGUCUCCCUCUCUCUCUCUGCCCCUCCCCAACUCAUGCUCUGUCUCUGUCUCUCUCUCUCUCUCAAAAAUAAAUUAACGUUAAAAGUUUUUUUUCAAUGUGCUUGACUCUGGGGACUAAGUGUGUAGCAAAUGAGGUGGGAAGACAAUACUGGUGGCCCCUAUUUGUUGAGCCCCUCGCAUGUGCCAAUCCUCACAACUUGUCAACACAGGUAGGUUGACUCCUACUUCACAAGGUAAAAAACUGAAAUCCAAAUGGUGGCCACCUGCCCAAGCUUAUCAGGCAGCAGAGGGUAGAUUCCAAUCCUGGGUCCGGCCGACACCCAAUUUGCAAUCUUUCUUCCAAAAGAUGUGUACAUUUCAUGAGGAACUUCCAUUCCACCAACAUAAGUUCAUUAUUAAGUUCAGGCCUUUGAGAAAACGAAGCUUCUGCAGAAUCCACAGAAAAAGGAAAAAAAAGUAGGCUUUGCCCAAGAGAGUGACAUACCAUGAUUUUAAGGCCCUCAUAAGAGAGUUUAAACUAUCAAUUUUUUCAGGGGAAAUUACUGUCUCUGAAGCCGGCCCUGAUCCUCAGGUUCUUAGUUCUGGAUGCUACUAAUGGAUCAGAUGCGGCUGCCUCCUUAUUCCUCGAGGGCCACUAGAGAAACGGAACGUUCCUCUGAGGCAAGGGCCGGGGAUUCGAGGCGAAAAGAAAAAAGAUGAAAACACGUAAGAAGGAUGGAAAUGGGAAAAGGGGUGAGUGAGAAGACAAUACAGCAGUAAAAUAGUGUGUGAGGGGAAGUCGGGUAUUGAGUCCUGCAUUUCAGAUCCCGGAAAGCCUCGAGCAUCACUAGAAAAGAGGAAAAGCCUUUUCUAUACCUCCACACCCUUGGCACAGCCCCUUGUUACAGCUUACUCCUUCAAGGCACAGGCCAGUCUACACCAACAUUUCAUUAAGUCAUAGGUUCAUUCCAGCAGAGCUCUAACAAUCCCUACCAGGUUGUUAACAUAUGCAAGCUCAACGUUACAGUCAGGCUGAAUUUUCGAGGUUUUCUAUAAAGGAUCUCCCUUAGUAUUGCAGACCAUCCGCCAUGUUAGUUCCCCAGUCUGGCUGGUGCCACCAUGUAUUGUCGCACAAGAUCCUGGGUUCUUUCCAACCCUAGACUUUGGGUUUUAGCUCAUCUUUGAGAGAUUGCACGUCAGUUGCCUCUAAAUUAAAAAUAGUAAUGGAUAUCCUACUCUAUAUUCACUUUCGGAACCUUUCAGCCCACAUACUAUCCAGCCCAAUUUAAUUUCUGUAACUUCUGUGAUUCCCAGGAUUGGGUUCAAUGGCCAUUUCUCUGAUACCACAGCGUGCUCUACAGGUCCAUGCCCUGGAGCUCACCUCCCACACUCUUAUGAGGCUCCUCCCCACCAGAAGGGAAACUUCUCAAGGGCGGGAAGAAUGCUGUAGAAUCCUCAGUGUGUAGAAUGCUGUAGAAUCCACAGUGCCUAGCACAUAGUGCUCCGUAAAUAAUGUGGAACAAAUGAACGUUAUUCACCUGUGCAAAUGACAGAAUCACAUCAUAGGAGCUAGGGCAGCUAAUUAGGUUCUUUAUAUAACAACAUUUUGUGUCCGAGGAGAGUGGAGAAAUUCCGAUUGCACAUCAUUUUUCCUUAAAGCAAGGCUCAGCGAUUGGGAUAUGCGUCACUGAAAUCAUAUUUUGUGCCAAUCUACUUCAGAGUUACUGAUAGGUUUAAAACAAUAGGUGCAUUUUGGACAAUGAUUGAGUGCUACAAUCAUAGCUUUGCUGUUUUCAAUGUACAAUUUCUUCUUUAGCAUCUGCUAUUUCUUUCCUCUUUCCAUUCUUCACAACCAUCAAGAAACAUUUAUCCGCGAAUGUCAAGUGCCUUAUAUUAUGGUUUCCUGUGCCUUCCUAAGUUGCUUGUUUUCUUACAUCUCUUUCAAGUGAGUAACCAGCAGAGUUGGGACAGCUCCCCACAUAAAUUUCCAUGAGGUCGAGGAUCUAGUCCAUCGCUAAUGUUUCCUCACCAUGGUAAGCCAUAAAAUGUUCAGGGGCCCCUCCAGGUCAAAUGGUUGUCCUGCAGGGCAUUAGGAACUUGUGCACAAUAUCAUUUUCUUCUCAUGACAUAGCAUGACACAAACUGUUCUUUUUUGAGCGACGAAGCCUCUAUUUUCGAUCUGGCUACGUUCUUGCAUACAAAUUCCUUAUAAAUUAUUUUUCAAAUUCUGAGGUUCACUAAUUCAAUUAAAUCCAUUCUUAAUUUUUAAUUAAAUCUGCAUUUCUCCUGGUAACCUUUGGAAAGAUGGAAGCCA